rnacentral:lncRNA from 1 species
GGGGGCCAAGCUUGAGGACCUGUGUCUGAUCCCAAACCUCACAGUAGAAAAGAGAACUGUCAAGUUGUCCUUUGACCUCCACACAAGCCAGCACGCACUCCAUCACAAAUAAGUGUAAAAGAAGUUUUAAAUAUUUCUGAAGGGAAAAUAGCUCUGAGACACAUGAGUGCUACGUUUGUCUCCUAUCAAGGAGUGAAGGCUUGGCAUCUGUGCAUUUCUCUGAACUAUAAAUAAAUAAAUAAAUAAAUAAAUAAAUAAAUAAAUACCUAAUAUCCAUCUCAAUAACAAGCACACAGUAGGACCGAGGGAAGAGUGGGGCUAUCUGUAACUUACAUUGAAUUUUAGAGAAUGAGUGGAUGGUGAACAAGAGGACAGAUGAGGGAAGGCAGAAUCAACAUGUCAGUGGGAAAAAACAGCAGGAAAUAAUGGCGUUCAUUUUACAAUCUUCCAAAUUUCCUGAUGUUCAGAAUUCUGCUUAUAAGAUUGAGAGGGAAAAAAAUCCUGAAAAGAUUUCUCAUAUGUUCAUAUUUUGGAGAGCUGGUCAAUGACUAUGUAUUUAAAUAAAACAAUUCUCUUUGACAUAUAUAUAUGUAGAUAUAUAUAUAUAGAUAUAUAUAUGUAGAUAUAUAUGGUAUAUAUAAUGGGUGUUUUCACAAUAAAAGAAGUUUAAAAAUAACAA